rnacentral:rRNA from 1 species
AUGAGACUUCAUCGCGCAACAUAUCUAUUUGUCUUAAAGUUACUGGAUACUCAAUUUGACAAAUCAUUGACACACUUCAGUAUCAGAAAAUCUUCAAGAUGCUCAUGUUUUGAAAAUAUACGAAUGAUGUUUGCCUAUGAUGAUGUCAAAGGUUUCAUUACAAAUAUACAUGCAAACACUUUAAAUACUGAGCAUAUUUAUUCUAACUUCAUCAAUAAAUUUUUAAUCUUUUUACAACAUUAUAUGUUCGUCUUGUAUGCUGUACACUUCCAUGUCAUGUCGUGUCUCAGUUUGCACUACAUUUAUAUGAUGGUAAUGUUGGAAUGUCUUUUGUAG